GGACUUGUAGCUCAGUUGGUCAGAGCAACAGACUCAUAAUCUGGAGGUCGUAGGUUCAAGCCCUACCUGGUCCA
rnacentral:tRNA from 1 species